CACGCCCAGGCUCAGGGGUGGGUGGGGGAUCAGUGACAGAAACCUCCAAAGACCUGUUCCUUGGGGUGACUCACAAUGGGGGGAGGGUCCCCCCAUUCUUAGAAUGGCUGGUCAGAAUUUCAGCAGGGAAAAGUGAGUCACCCUGGGAAGGAAACAAUAUUUGGGAGCAACAAUCUCCCCCUCCACAAGGCCCCCCAACUUUUAACAGCCUCUCCAUUCUUUCUUUGUAUCUGUAUAUCUGCUAUCUCUGCUCCUUUCUCUGUUCUACCUCAUUUCUGGUCUGUGGAUCCCUGCUUCUGCCUGUGUGCGCCUCUCUCUCUGGGCAGGCACACCCUCUCUCUCUCUUUCUCACUUCCUCUCCUCUGCCCACCCCAGACUCUUCUUUCUUUUGGCAUAAAUCUUAUCAUCCUCUUCUGCUAUUCUUGCCAGAAUGAGCCAGGAAAGAGAGAAUAUAUUUUUGAAAGGGCACAAAUGGACCUCAUCUCCUAUUUCCACUCUUGCUGGCUGGGCAAGGUGAGAGGAGGGGAAGAGGGUGACUAAGAGGUGACGGAUACCCCCUAAAAUUUAGCGGCCAAGGCCAUUCAGAAAUAUCCAAUGAAAAGGAAAGCCGGCAGAGCCCUUCAAGACCAUGUGCUACACAGCUCCCCACCCCGUGCUCUACAGAAGGGGAAAAUGACUGUCCGACAGGGACAGAGACUGACAAAAUCAUACCAGAGGCCUGGUAAGGAUGGGACCCAGGUUCCUUAGCUCCCAGCCCAGAGCUCUUCCCAUGUCGCCGAGCUAGCUCUCCACUUGUAAAGCGCCACGCCAUUUAAUUCAGAGAAAGUUUACAGAGAGGAUUAGGGUGCCAGGAAGCAGUGACUUUAAAAUCAAACAAGGGACAAGGCUAUUUCCCAGAAGCACUGGAGAAAGGAUUCUUGAACUGGGCAGGUGGUCACCUUAGGCUAUAUUCUCAUUCUGAGAAUCUGAAGUCCCGUGAUUCUAAGCGGUCAGGAAUCUAGAUGCCAGAGAUGUCAAGAUCCAGGAACUCCAAGAAAUCAAGAUGUCACAAUUUUAAAGAUGUCAAGAUGCUAGCAUGCUAACACCGUCAAGGUUUUAGAACUUUAAAGGUAUCAGGAUUCUAAAGACUUCUGGAUUUUAGAAUCCCUAUAGAUGUCAACAUUCUAAACUACCCUCAGGUUCUGUUUACUGGAUUCAUUGGUUCCAGGAUUCUAUGAGCCUAGUUUUUAGCCUAGAAAUUAUAUAAAGAAAAAUAAAAUCUGAUGGAAAUGCAGCUAAGGUACCAACGUUCUCAUUUGGGAAACUGUGGCCUGGCUAUUGCAAAGAAAGGUGGUGAUGAUGAAAGUUUUGAGGCAAUCACAGAAGAGUAUAGAAGAAAGAAAGGCACAGAGUGAGAGGUCAGCCUUGUCCGGAGGCUGGGAGGCUGUUUCAAACCCUGAAGUGGGGACGGCGCAAGCACACUCAAUUUGCCAGAAACCCCCCCACGGUCUGAGCUGGGAUUUGCUUUCAGGCCACUGAGUUCAACAUCCUCACUUUACAGGAGGAGAAACUGAAGCCAGGAGAGAGGGGCAUGUUUACCACCGGCUGGUGUGGCUAAUGGCAAGCGCCAGGAUUUAAACUCAGGCCUGCAGCCCUGUGCCACCUGGUUCCAACGCCUCCCCAAACCUCUACAGAAAUCCAGCCCUCCUGCUUCUGCCCGGCCACCUCCCAAUCAUCUGUUCCUCCCAAGAGUGGCUUUUACCUACAGGGAGCGGGUGACCCGUGACAGUCGCUCCUCCAUCCUUGUGGUGGGAUCUCUCUUGCAGCCUGUUUUCCAAGCGCUGGCCAAGCGGGCAGCGGAACCACGAGGCCCGCGGGAGCAGGGGAUGCUUGUGUCGACCUGGACAACUCUGUACAGUGGCUUCGAUGUGGACGUCAUCCGCCUAAGUAGAGGGGACUGUGGACAGAACCUUGGCCCACACUGGACCCAAUCAGGGUCUCGUGGCUAAAUUUUUAGAAAUGAGACUCAAGUAGUUCUUGGUGCUUAACAUCUCAGUGGGCGUAGUGUGAAGUAGAAGGUAGUCUGUGCAGAGAUGGAAAAAUAAAGUCAAGGUCUAGGAGGGAAAUCACA